rnacentral:rRNA from 1 species
UACGUAGGGGGCAAGCGUUGUCCGGAUUUAUUGGGCGUAAAGAGCGUGUAGGCGGCUAGGUAGGUCCGUUGUGAAAACUCGAGGCUCAACCUCGAGACGUCGAUGGAAACCAUCUAGCUAGAGUCCGGAAGAGGAGAGUGGAAUUCCUGGUGUAGCGGUGAAAUGCGCAGAUAUCAGGAGGAACACCGGUGGCGAAGGCGGAUCUCUGGGCCUUACCUGACGCUGAGGCGCGAAAGCUAGGGGAGCGAACAGG